rnacentral:lncRNA from 1 species
GCCUUUAGGCUCUAUCCCCUUUUUUGUCCCUGUUUCGCUGCCUUCAUGCACAGCUUUCGUCAGGGUUUUGGGUACGUCGUUGUAAUCCAUUUGAGUAGGUAACCUUGGUCCAAUUUGUGUAGUGUUCUUGUGUGAUUUUUCGGCUCUUGAUCUGAGCCCUGAUCCAACCGUUUUUGGUGCCAAUGCAAAAAGAAGUGAAAAUGGACUAAAAGUGUGCAAAAUUGUGAAGUUGGGGUCCAAAGUCCAUACACUAAAAAGUUGAGAAGGAUCUUGGAUUGUAAUUUUUGGAGGGCAUGAUUGAUAUAAAAGUCAAAUUUUGAGGGCCAAAUUGUACAAGAUCAAAGUUGAGGGACCUGGUGUGCAAUUAUCUUGGGGUCUUCUGGUUGCCUUCUUCCUCUUUCAUUUUUCUUUUCCUCCUUUUAUUUUGCCAGCUGGUUGCAUGUCUCCACAAUAAAUCAAAGAAAAGGUGGAGAAGAAUUGAUGUACUCAAGAUUUAAGCAAAUCGAACCGAAAAGGGUUUUAUCUUUAAUAUUGAAUUUGUUUUUUUUUUCCUAUCAUUUGUAAUGUAUUGAAUAAAUAUUCUCCUUUGUUAUCAUAUAUAGAAUAUGGGCUAAUUUCUUAUGUUGGGAUUUAUGAUUGUAGUUUAACUUGACUUUAAUUAAUUUUAAUAUUUGCUCUUCAAUGUUAAAAUGCUUAUUUUCAUAUAUAUUUGUUGUUGUGUUCAAUGUCUUUCAUUUAUUUGGCCAUAAAUGAUCGAGUUUAGUGAUUUUUACAUCAUUCAAGAGAAGAUUGUACAUUUUAGAACAAAUAGUAAAUACCCUAGAUUUGUGUAGGAGAUAAAGAUAUGCCCCCUAAGCCUAGAUGUCCCAUUAGGUUAUUUUCACAAAAAAUUAUUGCGGUCGUCUGCUUUUAAUCGACAUAGAAAUAUAAUAAGUUAAACAAAUCAAUUAGGGCUAACUUCGUUGGAGUGAGAUAAAUAACUAAAAUUAGAAGAUCUGGUUGAAUAUCAUAAAUGAGUAAUUCGUUCAUUAGCUUAUGGAAAAAUUAAUUAGGGUUAAAUGAAACCAUGAAUCAAAACCAUAUUUUCCUCCAAAGUUCCCAAGAUUUUCAUGUUUUAUUAUUUUGUAGAUUCGUAGUUAUUUUCCAAAAUCAAAAUCUUUAUUGUGUGCUUGUUUUCAUUAUUAGAAUUAAAUUGAUUAAAAUUGUGUAAUCGAAAGUAAACAUUCUUCCAGGAAUCAACAACUCGCACUCAAAAUGUCCACUUUAUUAAUUAAAUGUGACGAAUGCACUUGGGGUUUGCACUUUCAUAGCGAACAACAAAUACAGUGUAUGAUUAAUUUGGUCAACCUAUUCAUGGAAUAUGGAGGAAAAUGCAUGACAUUAGUACCUGUAAUUAGAUGCUCGGGAGCAGUAUAUCCAUAAGUUCCCUUGACACGAGUUGAGACGUGAGUCUUAUGAUCAGUUGGUCCAUCCCUAGCCAACCCAAAAUCAGAAAUUUUUGCAUUGUAGUUUUGCAAAUCAAAAGCACAAACAGCGAAAUUACAUGUUAAACAAUCAGACGUCCUACGAUAUGAAUAUAAACCAUGAUGAAAUAAUGAAGUGGUCAAAAGUACAAUGCAAAUCUUUCUUGACUAGAGCAAGCAACAUAUACUUACUGAAUCAAGAUAUUAUAAGUCUUGAAGUCUCGAUAUAUUACUUCUGCCUCAGUAUGUGAAGAAAGGCAAGUCCUCUAGCAGCAGCCAGAGCAAUUUUCAUUCUUAGUUUCCAGGAAAGUAGCUCGGAAGUGAGAACCACCUAGUCCGACAUAAAACCAAUUGUCCACGCGAAUUCGACAUCAAGUAAUAUUCAAUGAUAUAUUAUAUUAUGGUACACAUAAAAGGCUACAUUGAACUCAUUCCCAAAUAGAUGAUUCUCCAUGCUACCCUUAGGCAUAAACUUAUAAGCCAAAAGUUUGUGUUCAUCCUCCGAGCAGUAACCAAUUAAAUUCACAAAAUUAGGAUGGUGCAGCUGCCAAAGAUAGUUGAUUUCUGCCUGAAAAUCCAAACCAAAUCUUAUCAAUAUAACGGAAAUAAUCUGUCGGCCUUUCAUGCUCAACAGUCCACCAGUUUUGGAAGAGAUGGUUACCAUACAUCCAAGAGUCUUCCAGCUCUUACAGAAGCUCUUUCAUACUAGUCAAGCAGUAAGUGUGAAACAGAACAAGCUAUUCAGCUAAUUCAUGUUAUAGCCAUCAUAGUUGCAUGCUUGGACUAUAUUAUAAUUGCAGGCAUUAAUAGUCAAAUGCUACUUUAUGCGAGUGCAUAUCACUCAAAAUUAUUUGACAGACAUGCUUAAAUAAAUCUCUAUGCAUUUGUUGGGUAUUUUGAUACCAAUUAAACCUUGGGCCGAUCAUAAAUAAUUAGGACGGAUACUAGAUUCAAUUAUUUUCGUUGGAAACUUAAUAUUGAAUUCACUUAAGUGCUAUUGGGUCAAAAGUCACACUUGGUAGUCCAAGUUACAAAGAAGACUCAUUACCUCUCGACCCAUUACUUAACCUAUUAUAUUACAUAUAUAUAGGUGUGUCGAAUUUGUGUGUGAGACAUAACACUCGACUUCUCCUUUGGCAAUAUUAUUAAUAUGCUACACCUCUCUUGGCCUCUCUCUUUGUGACUGCCUUUUGUCUCUCUCAUCUUUGUGGCUGCCUCCUUUCGUUACUCCUUCUGCCGGCUCUUUACCGGUGAGUUGGGCACCUGUUAUGUGCCUUUAGGCUCUAUCCCCUUUUUUGUCCCUGUUUCGCUGCCUUCAUGCACAGCUUUCGUCAGGGUUUUGGGUACGUCGUUGUAAUCCAUUUGAGUAGGUAACCUUGGUCCAAUUUGUGUAGUGUUCUUGUGUGAUUUUUCGGCUCUUGAUCUGAGCCCUGAUCCAACCGUUUUUGGUGCUAAUUCAUUGGAGCUUGAUAGGAAAGCUUUAUUCUUGUUUUGUUUAGAUUAAUUUCCAUUAUCUAUUGAAUAGGUAACUACCUUGGUGUGGUUAAUUGAUUGACAGGUGAGUUGAUCACUAAAAAUUAUAUCAGAGCCUUAUUUUAAGCUCCUGUAGUGGCUGAUUUUUUCGAUUUCUAUGCUGGAAUUAAUCUGUGUUAAAUUGAACGUGUGUUCAUGGUGCAAUUGAAAUGCAGGUCUGCUGAUUUUUGCAAUAAGGACUUGAAUCCUUAAGUAAUU